rnacentral:tRNA from 1 species
GCCCGGAUGGCGGAAUUGGUAGACGCGCUGGACUCAAAAUCCUGUGGUAGCAAUAUCGUGCGGGUUCGAUUCCCGCUCUGGGCACAA